GCAGAGGCAAUAAAUUAAACAGAAAAAGGAUUAAUUAAAAGAAAAGAAAGAGAGAUAAACUCCAGUCUCUUCACAGUAGAAGGGAUUAUAGUUCUAAGUUUCUCAAGGCUCCAGGAGGAGGUGACAUUUGUCUGCAUAUCCCCACGUUCCUCCUUCUCGGUUUCUAUAAAUACAGCUGCUUUCUACUCUACUUUUCCCCACCAUUUUUUCUCAGACUUUGAAGCUCUCUGACUUUGUUUCACGGUUAAAAGUAUGGAAGAAUCUGUUAAGCUCAGGAGGGAUAGCGCCAUGGAUGAAUUAACAAUCGAUCACACAUGCCUCUUUCUUCUUGGGUUUUGAUGAUCCCCCUAUAGCGCUAUCCAUCCUGAGUUUCAUCGGUUCUUCUUGCUCUGUAUCUCUCUCGGUUGCUUGCUUCGCCAUUUCCAGGUUCUUUCAAAAGUUUGCAUAUGGUUUAAUGGGGAUGUGCCAGCUGAUCCUUCUCAGCCUCUUCUCUUCUUCUUGAGAAAAAUAAUAAAAAUAUGGGGAAAAAAUCUUUAAAUAAUGAUAUGAUUUAUUUUCAGUGGACCAUAAUGAGUAUGAACAACAUUAUUAGCUUUUUCUUUACAUUAGAUACAUGUUCCCUGUUCAUGCAACCUUGAAAUCUCUGGGAAUCACUGAUUUUUCUUUUUCUUGAUU